UACAGAGGUGGCAAGCGUUGUUCGGAAUUACUGGGCGUAAAGGGCGCGUAGGCGGCCCGUCAAGUCCCGUGUGAAAGCCCCCGGCUCAACCGGGGAACGGCGCGGGAAACUAGCAGGCUUGAGUUCGGGAGAGGGAAGCGGAAUUCCGGGUGUAGCGGUGAAAUGCGCAGAUAUCCGGAGUAACACCGGUGGCGAAGGCGGCUUCCUGGACCGACACUGACGCUGAGGCGCGAAAGCUAGGGGAGCAAACGGG
rnacentral:rRNA from 1 species